rnacentral:rRNA from 1 species
UGAGGGAGCUUGCUCCUGGAUUCAGCGGCGGACGGGUGAGUAAUGCCUAGGAAUCUGCCUGGUAGUGGGGGAUAACGUCCGGAAACGGGCGCUAAUACCGCAUACGUCCUGAGGGAGAAAGUGGGGGAUCUUCGGACCUCACGCUAUCAGAUGAGCCUAGGUCGGAUUAGCUAGUUGGUGGGGUAAAGGCCUACCAAGGCGACGAUCCGUAACUGGUCUGAGAGGAUGAUCAGUCACACUGGAACUGAGACACGGUCCAGACUCCUACGGGAGGCAGCAGUGGGGAAUAUUGGACAAUGGGCGAAAGCCUGAUCCAGCCAUGCCGCGUGUGUGAAGAAGGUCUUCGGAUUGUAAAGCACUUUAAGUUGGGAGGAAGGGCAGUAAGUUAAUACCUUGCUGUUUUGACGUUACCAACAGAAUAAGCACCGGCUAACUUCGUGCCAGCAGCCGCGGUAAUACGAAGGGUGCAAGCGUUAAUCGGAAUUACUGGGCGUAAAGCGCGCGUAGGUGGUUCAGCAAGUUGGAUGUGAAAUCCCCGGGCUCAACCUGGGAACUGCAUCCAAAACUACUGAGCUAGAGUACGGUAGAGGGUGGUGGAAUUUCCUGUGUAGCGGUGAAAUGCGUAGAUAUAGGAAGGAAC